CCUACGGGAGGCAGCAGUGAGGAAUAUUGGUCAAUGGGCUUACGCCUGAACCAGCCAAGUCGCGUGAGGGAAGACUGCCCUAUGGGUUGUAAACCUCUUUUGUCAGGGAGCAACGCCGGCUACGUGUAGCCGGACUGAGAGUACCUGAAGAAAAAGCAUCGGCUAACUCCGUGCCAGCAGCCGCGGUAAUACGGAGGAUGCGAGCGUUCUCCGGAUUUAUUGGGUUUAAGGGGUGCGUAGGCGGAAUGCCAAGUCAGCGGUAAAAUCGCGGGGCUCAACCUCGCUCCGCCGUUGAAACUGGCGGUCUUGAGUGGGCGAGAAGUAUGCGGAAUGCGUGGUGUAGCGGUGAAAUGCAUAGAUAUCACGCAGAACUCCGAUUGCGAAGGCAGCAUACCGGCGCCCAACUGACGCUGAAGCACGAAAGCGUGGGUAUCGAACAGGAUUAGAUACCCUUGUAGUC
rnacentral:rRNA from 1 species